rnacentral:rRNA from 1 species
UACGGGGGGGGCAAGCGUUGUUCGGAAUUACUGGGCGUAAAGGGCUCGUAGGCGGCCAACUAAGUCGGAUGUGAAAUCCCCAGGCUUAACCUGGGAACUGCAUCCGAUACUGGAUGGCUUGAAUUCGGGAGAGGGAUGCAGAAUUCCAGGUGUAGCGGUGAAAUGCGUAGAUAUCUGGAGGAAUACCGGUGGCGAAGGCGGCAUCCUGGACCGACAUUGACGCCGAGGAGCGAAAGCUAGGGGAGCAAACGGG